rnacentral:rRNA from 1 species
GGGUUGUGAGGUUAAGCGACUAAGCGUACACGGUGGAUGCCCUGGCAGUCAGAGGCGAUGAAGGACGUGCUAAUCUGCGAUAAGCGCCGGUAAGGUGAUAUGAACCGUUAUAACCGGCGAUUUCCGAAUGGGGAAACCCAGUGUGACUCGUCACACUAUCAUUAACUGAAUCCAUAGGUUAAUGAGGCGAACCGGGGGAACUGAAACAUCUAAGUACCCCGAGGAAAAGAAAUCAACCGAGAUUCCCCCAGUAGCGGCGAGCGAACGGGGAGGAGCCCAGAGCCUGAAUCAGCAUGUGUGUUAGUGGAAGCGUCUGGAAAGGCGCGCGAUACAGGGUGACAGCCCCGUACACAAAAGCGCAUGUGUUGUGAGCUCGAUGAGUAGGGCGGGACACGUGGUAUCCUGUCUGAAUAUGGGGGGACCAUCCUCCAAGGCUAAAUACUCCUGACUGACCGAUAGUGAACCAGUACCGUGAGGGAAAGGCGAAAAGAACCCCGGCGAGGGGAGUGAAAAAGAACCUGAAACCGUGUACGUACAAGCAGUGGGAGCCCCACCACUAAGCCAGUGGUGAACUCCACAUACGCAUCCUUUGCUGAAGGUGCGGUUAACGGAGCGCAAGCGACGUUCAACCUCAAAAGAAGCAGAGGGGGCUUAGUGGUGGGGUGACUGCGUACCUUUUGUAUAAUGGGUCAGCGACUUAUAUUCUGUAGCAAGGUUAA